rnacentral:rRNA from 1 species
GACGAACGCUGACGGUGUGCUUUAACAUGCAAGUCGAACGAGAAAGCCCUUCGGGGUUAGUAAAGUGGCGAACGGGUGCGUAACACUGUGGGUAAUCUACCCCUCGCAGAGUGGACAACCGGGGGAAACCCCGGCAUAAUACCUCGUACUGCUUGCCUGGGCCGCAUGGUCCUGGUAAGGAAAGGUAGCUUCGGCCAUCCGGCGAGGGAUGAGCCCGCGGUACAUUAGCUAGUUGGUGAGGUAACGGCUCACCGAAGGCUACGAUGUAUAGCUGGUCUGAGAGGAUGAUCAGCCACACUGGGACUGAGACACGGCCCAGACUCCUACGGGAGGCAGCAGUCGGGAAUCUUGCACAAUGGGCGAAAUGCCUGAUGCAGCAACACCGCGUGAGCGAGGAAGGCCUUCGGGUCGUAAAGCUCUGUUGUUGGGGACGAAGGGCGAAGGGUUAAUAGCCCCUAGCCUGACGGUACCCUUCGAGGAAGCCCCGGCUAACUACGUGCCAGCAGCCGCGGUAAUACGUAGGGGGCGAGCGUUGUCCGGAAUUAUUGGGCGUAAAGAGCGUGUAGGCGGCCUGGUAAGUCUGCCGUGAAACCUUGGGGCUCAACCCCAAGCGUGCGGUGGAUACUGCUAGGCUAGAGGAUGGUAGAGGCGAGUGGAAUUCCCGGUGUAGCGGUGAAAUGCGCACGAUAUCGGGAGGAACACCAGUAGCGAAGGCGGCUCGCUGGGCCAUUCCUGAACGGCUGAGAACUGCGAAAAGCAUGGGGAGCAAACCAGGAUUAGAUA